UUGUAAAAGAAGCAAAUGCUUCUUCUCCCUCAACCGUGCAGCCCCAACCCGUGCACACCCACGACACACACCCACACACGCAUGGAAGGAGAAGAGAAAACCCUCUCUUUCUCUCUCUAAAUCUCUCCAAAAAUUAAAGGAAUUGGCGGAGGUUGAAGCUUGGGAGUGGAUCACCAUUGUCUUCUUCAUCUUCUCCAUGAUUUGGAGCUAAUUUUGAGGUAAACGAACGCGUUGGCAAAGACGGUUCGGCAAUCCGACGAGCCGUUACAAAGUUAUUAAAGAAACGGAUGUUUAGGCUUCGUUUCCGCCUGGAGGGCCGAGGCGACGUCGUAAAAUCGUGAAAACAGAUUUGAAUCACCGUGGCACAUCACCGAAGACCUUUAAUUUCCGGAUCGUGGAUUGGAGGCCGUUCGGGUGGUCGCGCGAGGGAUCGGGCCAAACCGGGUGCCGGGUGCCGCGGGCGGCCGAUUGCAAGUGACUACGAGCAAUCGGAAAGCUAGCUAAGGUUCGUACGUGAGCGGCGCGGCGGCGCGAGGAAAGGGCGUAGCUCCGUAGAUAGCGCCCUACCCCGGAGACCAGAGCUAGAAGUACCCCGUCGACGUCGCUUAGGGGUUAAGAAAAUGAAAAGAACAUAAUGUAUCAAAUUUGUAAUAAGUAAAUGUUGUAAUAACUUAGAUUGCAUUUGGAUGAAAUGAAUGGUGGUUGAGAUGUAAAA